CGUCAAAUCAUCAUGCCCCUUAUGUCUUGGGCUACACACGUGCUACAAUGGCUGCUACAAAGUGAGGCGAGCCCGCGAGGGCAGGCAAACCACAAAAAAGCAGUCCCAGUUCGGAUUGCAGGCUGCAACCCGCCUGCAUGAAGCUGGAAUCGCUAGUAAUCGCGAAUCAGCAUGUCGCGGUGAAUACGUUCCCGGGCCUU
rnacentral:rRNA from 1 species